AAUGAAAACAAAAAUUUUAGACCGUAAAAAUCAAGAACAACAAUUCCAAGAUCAAUGAUGUUUCUCAGAACUCUAAAUAAUGUAAAAAGUGUAUAAAGUGCAUCAACUAAUAAAAAAAUAGUCGAUGGGUAUGUGUAGAAACAUUAGAAAACCUAUCAUGAACAAUGUAGGAAACUUGAGAUAGCACCAACCUACGACCCUACCUACGGGGUGUAAG
rnacentral:lncRNA from 1 species